rnacentral:rRNA from 1 species
UACGUAGGCAGCAAGCGUUGUUCGGAAUUACUGGGCGUAAAGAGUGUGUAGGCGGUGUUCUAAGUUUGUCGUGAAAUCUCCCGGCUUAACUGGGAGGGUGCGGCGAAAACUGGAAUGCUAGAGGAUGGGAGAGGUAAGCGGAAUUCCUGGUGUAGCGGUGAAAUGCGUAGAUAUCAGGAGGAACACCGGUGGCGAAGGCGGGUCUCUGGGCAACAACUGACGCUGAGGAGCGAAAGCGUGGGGAGCGAACAGG